CUACCUGGGUAAGGCCCAAGAUGGCUGCCCUCGUGUGAAGUCGGUGGGGACGGUUCCUGUCGUCAUCUUGAGGGCCACGUCUGGCCCUCACUCCUGGACUUAUUUGGUGUGUUGUUGAAGCGGGGAGACUAGAGAAAUGACAGGGAGCCUCUUAUCUGGGGCAGGCAAGCGCCUGUGGAACUGGGUGCCUCUGGCGUGCAGAAGCUUCUUUCUUGGUGUGCCGAGAUUGAUCGGUAUAAGGCUCACUCUCCCGCCCCCCAAAGUGGUUGAUCGUUGGAACGAGAAGAGGGCCAUGUUCGGAGUGUAUGACAACAUUGGGAUCCUGGGAAACUUUGAAAAGCACCCCAAAGAACUGAUCAGGGGGCCCAUAUGGCUUCGAGGUUGGAAAGGGAAUGAAUUGCAACGUUGUAUCUGAAAGAAGAAAAUGGUUGGAAGUAGAAUGUUCGCUGAUGACCUGCACAACCUUAAUAAACGCAUCCGCUAUCUCUACAAACACUUUAACCGACAUGGGAGGUUUCGGUAGAAGAGAAAGCUGA